GAUGAACGCUGGCGGCGUGCCUCAAACAUGCAAGUCGAGCGGGGCUAUGUAAUAUCGCAAGGUAGAACAUAGCCUAGCGGCGAACGGGUGAGUAACACGUGGGUAACCUGCCUGGAAGACAGGGAUAACGAUUCGAAAGGGUCGCUAAUACCUGAUAAUAUCCUUUCAUCGCAUGGUGAUAGGAAGAAAGGGGAAACCCGCUUUCAGAUGGGCCCGCGUCCCAUCAGCUAGUUGGUAAGGUAAAGGCUUACCAAGGCGACGACGGGUAGCCGGUCUGAGAGGAUGUACGGCCACACUGGGACUGAGAUACGGCCCAGACUCCUACGGGAGGCAGCAGUUGGGAAUCUUAGGCAAUGGACGAAAGUCUGACCUAGCGACGCCGCGUGAGGGAAGAAGGCUUUCGGGUUGUAAACCUCUGUCAUGGGGAAGAAGUAAGUGACGGUACCCAAGAGGAAGCCCCUGCUAACUACGUG
rnacentral:rRNA from 1 species